GGAAUAUUGGACAAUGGGCGAGAGCCUGAUCCAGCCAUGCCGCGUGCAGGAAGACUGCCCUAUGGGUUGUAAACUGCUUUUCUACGGGAAGAAACACCCCCUCGUGAGGGGGCUUGACGGCACCGUAAGAACAAGGAUCGGCCAACUCCGUGCCAGCAGCCGCGGUAAUACGGAGGAUCCAAGCGUUAUCCGUGAUAAUUGGGUUUAAAGGGUCCGUAGGCGGGCAGCUAAGUCAGUGGUGAAAGUCUGCAGCUCAACUGUAGAAUUGCCAUUGAUACUGGUUGUCUUGAAUCAUUAUGAAGUGGUUAGAAUAUGUAGUGUAGCGGUGAAAUGCAUAGAUAUUACAUAGAAUACCAAUUGCGAAGGCAGAUCACUAAUAAUGUAUUGACGCUGAUGGACGAAAGCGUGGGGAGCG
rnacentral:rRNA from 1 species